rnacentral:misc_RNA from 1 species
UCUCCGUUGGUGCACCAGCGGAGGGAUCAUUACCGAGUUCCAGCAACUCCCAACCCUUGCGAACCGUACCCCAGUCUGUUCUCGUUGCUCCCGGCAGGCGGGGGGGGCCACCUGGCCCCUCCCCCUGCCGGGGGCGGCGGGCCCUCCGAACCUUUAUAUCUCAACCACUGAAACCCGUCUGAGCAAAACAAAAAAUAAUCAAAACUUUCAACAACGGAUCUCUUGGCUCUG